UGUGAAUGGAGGAGCCAUUGCUUUGGGUCACCCACUGGGAGGAUCUGGAUUGGUUGAUGAAUUAAGGCGUCGAGGUGGAAAAUAUGCCGUUGGAUCAGCUUGCAUUGGAGGUGGCCAAGGUAUUGCUGUCAUCAUUCAGAGCACAGCCUGAAGAGACCAGUGAGCUCACUGUGACCCACUCUUAUUCUACUUGGCCAGGCCACAGUAAAACAAGUGACCUUCAGAGCAGCUGCCACAACUGGCCAUGUCCUGCCAUUGAAACAGUGAUUGAGUUUGUUCAAGCCAUGGUGAUACAAAAAUGCAUUGAUCAUGAAUAGGAGCCCAUGCUAGAAGUACGGUCUCUCAGAUUUGUACCAGUGAAAUAUGUAUUUCUGAACUAAAACUCAACUAUAGAAGACAUUAAAAGAAAUUGUAUUCUUGCCAAGUAACCACCACUUCUGCCUUAGAUAAUAUGGUUAUAAGGAAAUCAAAUAAAUGUUGCCUUAACUUCAAAAAAAAAA
ensembl:lncRNA novel transcript